UUGAUCUCAAAUCAGGUAGGACUACCCGCUGAACUUAAGCAUAUCAAUAAGCGGAGGAAAAGAAACUAACAAGGAUUCCCCUAGUAACUGCGAGUGAAGCGGGAAGAGCUCAAAUUUAAAAUCUGGUGUGCCUCUGGUCACCCGAGUUGUAGUCUGGAGAAGCGUUUUCUGUGUUGGGCCGUGUAUAAGUCCCUUGGAACAGGGCGUCAUAGAGGGUGAGAAUCCCGUCUUUGACACGGACUGCCAAUGCUUU
rnacentral:rRNA from 1 species